AGAGCGAACGCUGGCGGCAGGCCUAACACAUGCAAGUCGAACGCACCUUCGGGUGAGUGGCGGACGGGUGAGUAACGCGUGGGAACGUGCCCUUUGGUACGGAACAACUCAGGGAAACUUGAGCUAAUACCGUAUGUGCCCUUCGGGGGAAAGAUUUAUCGCCAUUGGAGCGGCCCGCGUCUGAUUAGCUUGUUGGUGAGGUAAAGGCUCACCAAGGCUACGAUCAGUAGCUGGUCUGAGAGGAUGAUCAGCCACACUGGGACUGAGACACGGCCCAGACUCCUACGGGAGGCAGCAGUGGGGAAUCUUGCGCAAUGGGCGAAAGCCUGACGCAGCCAUGCCGCGUGAAUGAUGAAGGUCUUAGGAUUGUAAAAUUCAUUCGACCGGGGACGAUAAUGACGGUACCCGAGAAGAAGCCCGGCUAACUUCGCGCCAGCAGCCGC
rnacentral:rRNA from 1 species